rnacentral:rRNA from 1 species
GAUAUGGCUCAGGACGAACGCUGGCGGCGCGCCUAACACAUGCAAGUCGAACGAGAGAUGAAGAGCUUGCUCUUCAAAUCGAGUGGCGAACGGGUGAGUAACACGUGAGGAACCUGCCUCAAAGAGGGGGACAACAGUUGGAAACGACUGCUAAUACCGCAUAAGCCCACGGCUCGGCAUCGAGCAGAGGGAAAAGGAGUGAUCCGCUUUGAGAUGGCCUCGCGUCCGAUUAG